rfam:Equus caballus chromosome 2, whole genome shotgun sequence.
UUACAAAAGGAAAACACAAGGAAAGGGAGAGGUCUCACUAACCAGCCCAGUGUCAUAAAGCCCGCUGGUCCUAGGCUGCCCUCUUUC